GGGACGUAACGGUCCCCUUACUUCGGUACAUCCAAGACAGGUGGUGCAUGGUUGUCGUCAGCUCGUGUCGUGAGAUGUUGGGUUAAGUCCCGCAACGAGCGCAACCCUUAUCUUCAGUAGCCAGCAGGUAAAGCCGGGCACUCUGGAGAGACUGCCGGGGAUAACCCGGAGGAAGGUGGGGACGACGUCAAACCAUCAUGCCCCUUAUGGCCUGGGCUACACACGUGCUACAAUGGCGUAAACAGAGGGAGGCAGCCCCGCGAGGGUGAGCAAACCCCAAAAAUAACGUCCCAGUUCGGAUUGCAGUCUGCAACUCGACUGCAUGAAGCUGGAAUCGCUAGUAAUCGCGGAUCAGAAUGCCGCGGUGAAUACGUUCCCGGGUCUUGUACACACCGCCCGUCACACCAUGGGAGUUGGUAACGCCCGAAGUCAGUGACCUAACCGAAAGGGAGGAGCUGCCGAAGGUGGGACCAGUGACUGGGGUGAAGUCGUAACAAGGUAGCCGUAUCGGAAGGUGCGGCUGGAUCACCUC
rnacentral:rRNA from 1 species